GGAUGUGAGGGCAAUCUGGCUGGCUAGGUGGGUGUCCCCUUCCUUCCUUCCUCACCGCUCCAUGUGCAUCCCUCCCGAAAUGCGCACUUGGUCAGAGAGGAUGGCCUUCCCUGAAUAGAGAUGGACCGGUCUUCGAUCGAGGGUAUACUAGUAGCUGCGCUCCCCUGCUAGAACCUCCAAACAAGCUCUAAAAGUGACAAAAAUUAAAAAUCACAGAAGAGGGAGUCGGGCAGUAGCGCAGUAGGUUAAGUGCAGGUGGCACAAAGCGUU
rfam:Erinaceus europaeus unplaced genomic scaffold scaffold00376, whole genome shotgun sequence